UUUUUUUAUUGUUAUACAUGCAAUGUUUUUUAUACACAUACUCAAAUUAAAAUACACAAAGCAAAUCACAAACAUACACCUACACAACAAAACAUUUAUAUAACCCAAGGUUCGAAGGUACUAUAAUAAUAUAUACUUCUGCAACAUUGUCACAAUAUAAAGUUUUCAUUAAUCAUUUGAGAGAUAAAGCAAUGAUUACCUGUAUAACCACUUCUUCUUAAACCUUGUUACAAUGUGCCUGUCAUGGCUGCUUUUAACAGCAACUCAACAACCUGCUAUAAGCUAGGCUAGGGCUGCAAAAACAGUGAUUUAACUCCUAAAUGAUAGAGAAUUGAGCAGCGAGACUGGGGGCACCCUCAGGGCACAAUAGUGCCAGGAAAACGAAUAUGUUUUCCUGGCACUAUAGUGGUCCUUUAAUAGGAUUGCUAUAAGAAAGAGGCAUAAGACUAUUGUUUUUAACUUUGUUUUACCUAAUGUUCC